rnacentral:rRNA from 1 species
GACGAACGCUGGCGGCGUGCCUAAUACAUGCAAGUCGAGCGGACUUUCAAGAAGCUUGCUUUUUGAAAGUUAGCGGCGGACGGGUGAGUAACACGUGGGCAACCUGCCUGCAAAACGGGGAUAACUCCGGGAAACCGGGGCUAAUACCGGAUAAUAUCUUCCUUCGCAUGAAGGAAGGUUGAAAGGCGGCGCAAGCUGCCGCUUGCAGAUGGGCCCGCGGCGCAUUAGCUAGUUGGUGAGGUAACGGCUCACCAAGGCGACGAUGCGUAGCCGACCUGAGAGGGUGAUCGGCCACACUGGGACUGAGACACGGCCCAGACUCCUACGGGAGGCAGCAGUAGGGAAUCUUCCGCAAUGGACGAAAGUCUGACGGAGCAACGCCGCGUGAGCGAAGAAGGUCUUCGGAUCGUAAAGCUCUGUUGUCAGGGAAGAACAAGUACCGUUCGAACAGGGCGGUACCUUGACGGUACCUGACCAGAAAGCCACGGCUAACUACGUG